AUGUCUCCUCGUAGCGUCCAUACCCGGUUGCUCUUGUGUGGUCACUGUACCUGGUGGGUACAGGUGUUCCUUGGAAUGGACCCUCAAAUAUCAGGACAGCUAAUGCACCUUCUUCCCCUCCUCCCCUGUCUCUCACCAACCGCUGAGUCACUCACCAGUUGCCCUGUGCUGUGGUCCCCACCCCUUCUCGUUAACUUCCUUGCUCUGCCCGGAAUACCCACCACGACCUCCAGAAUUGCACUUUGGACGCAAGGGGAGAGGGCGGCGUCACCUCUCCAGAGCUCCAGGAUUGCAACAAGGACCUUCAGCAAGUUGCCCAAGCCUUGGGGGAGGCCUUUCCUGCCACCAGCUCGCUCCGUCACACGUCACAUGUCCGUCUUACCGACAACUCGGCACUUAGCGCUGUCUCCGUCCUUUGGUCGCAACCUGCCUCUCCUCUCGGUCCCGAGCUCCGGGAGUGCAGACCCCUGCCUGUCUCCCACCUGCCCUGUGUCUACCGUGGCGUCUCCAUCAAUCCUGCUUGAAUAAGUGAGUGAAGAGUUGAACUGCCCUUCCUUUUGCUUCGUUCCCGUCCGCCAGGCCAGCUGCCUGACAGGUUAGAAGGUCUGCUGGGAAGACUGCGGGUGCACUGCGGGUGCUCUGCCGUCCUCUAACAGUUAAGACUCACUCUGGAUGGGUUUCUGUUACCUGUCUGUGUAGGAGUCCAUGAGCCUGGUCAUCGUCACCAUCAUCACGACCUGCCAUUCAGACUGCCAGGCUGCACCAGCCGCAGAUGGGAACCCGGCCGUCCCCUUGAUCCUCACAAAAGCGGAACCCGUGAGAUUAGCGCUGGCAUUGCCCAGGUGCGGAGGGCUUGCGUGGCGUGUGAGUCCCCAGAAGCUGAGUCGGGGUCUGCCUGACCCCAGAGCCGGUGUGCUCGUCCCGGGGCCACAGUCGGGCUCCUGCCCCUCCUGGAGGGUUCGUACCCUCACCCUCGCCCGGUCAUGGGUGACGAUGCCGCCACCUCACCCCAUCCUUCGCACAGACCUGUCCGCCCUGCGGUGUCUCCCGUGAGCCAGGCAGGCGAUCUUUUCACUGUCAGCUGUGGCCACACAGCACCUUUCCAGGUCCUCUCGCUUGCAAGGAGGUGAUGAGGGAGGACUCCACCUGUUGUCGUGUCUUCUUUAUUUGUUUUGUUUUUAGAACCCUGGCUCUUUUUUUUUUUUUUUUUUUUUUUUAAACAGGCAGAGUGGACAGUGGACAGUGAGAGAGAGAGACAGAGAGAAAGGUCUUCCUUUGCCGUUGGUUCACUCUCCAAUGGCCGCCUCGGCUGGCGCACCGUGCUGAUCCGAAGCCAGGAGCCAGGUGCUUCUCCUGGUCUCCCAUGGGGUGCAGGGCCCAAGCACUUGGGCCAUCCUCCACUGCACUCCCGGGCCACAGCAGAGAGCUGGCCUGGAAGAGGGGCAACCGGGACAGAAUCCGGCGCCCCGACCGGGACUAGAACCCGGUGUGCCAGCACCGCAAGGCGGAGGAUUAGCCUAGUGAGCCG
rnacentral:lncRNA from 1 species